GAGAUGCCCCAGCCACGGCUUGCUCUCAACUGUGUUGGUGGGAAAAGCUCCACAGAGCUGCUGCGGCAGUUAGCGCGUGGAGGAACCAUGGUAACCUAUGGGGGGAUGGCCAAGCAGCCCGUCAUAGCCUCUGUGAGCCUGCUCAUUUUUAAGGAUCUCAAACUUCGGGGCUUUUGGUUGUCCCAGUGGAAGAAGGACCACAGUCCAGACCAGUUCAAGGAGCUGAUCCUCACACUGUGCGAUCUCAUCCGCCGAGGCCAGCUCACAGCCCCAGCCUGCUCCCAGGUCCCGCUGCAGGACUACCAGUCUGCCUUGGAAGCCUCCAUGAAGCCCUUCAUAUCUUCAAAGCAGAUUCUCACCAUGUGAUCAUCCCAAAAGAGCUGGAGUGACAUGGGAGGGGAGGCAGAUCUGAGGGGCUGGGUGCAGUCCUCUCAGUUGGGGCUCCCACCUUCCCCAGACUACUGCUCUCCUCAGUGCCUCUUCCUAUUAGGAGGAUGGUGAAGCCAGCCAUGGUUUUCCCCAGGGCUAGCCUUAAGGUAUCUAAUAAAGUCUGAAGUCUCCCUUCCAAAAA
rnacentral:sRNA from 1 species